UAGGGAAUCUUCGGCAAUGGGGGGAACCCUGACCAAGCAACGCCGCGUGAGUGAAGAAGGUUUUCGGAUCGUAAAGCUCUGUUGUUAAGGAAGAACGAGUGUGAGAAUGGAAAGUUCAUACUGUGACGGUACUUAACCAGAAAGGGACGGCUAACUACGUGCCAGCAGCCGCGGUAAUACGUAGGUCCCGAGCGUUGUCCGGAUUUAUUGGGCGUAAAGCGAGCGCAGGCGGUUAGAUAAGUCUGAAGUUAAAGGCAGUGGCUCAACCAUUGUAGGCUUUGGAAACUGUUUAACUUGAGUGCAGAAGGGGAGAGUGGAAUUCCAUGUGUAGCGGUGAAAUGCGUAGAUAUAUGGAGGAACACCGGUGGCGAAAGCGGCUCUCUGGUCUGUAACUGACGCUGAGGCUCGAAAGCGUGGGGAGCGAACAGG
rnacentral:rRNA from 1 species